GGGCGGAUAGCUCAGCUGGUAGAGCAGUACCCUUACAAGGUACGGGUCGCAGGUUCGAGCCCUGUUCCGCCUACCA
rnacentral:tRNA from 1 species